rnacentral:rRNA from 1 species
GAUGAACGCUAGCGGCAGGCUUAACACAUGCAAGUCGAGGGGUAACAGGGAAGUUCGCUUUCGCUGACGACCGGCGCACGGGUGAGUAUCGCGUUUGUAACCUACCUCAAACUGGAAGAUAGCCCGAAGAAAUUCGGAUUAAUAUUCCAUAAUACUAUAGUUUGGCAUCGUUUUAUAGUUAAAGCUCCGGCGGUUUGAGAUGGGCAUGCGUAACAUUAGCUAGUUGGUGAGGUAACGGCUCACCAAGGCUACGAUGUUUAGGGGGUCUGAGAGGAUGGUCCCCCACACUGGUACUGAGACACGGACCAGACUCCUACGGGAGGCAGCAGUGAGGAAUAUUGGUCAAUGGGCGCAAGCCUGAACCAGCCAUGCCGCGUGAAGGAUGACGGCGCUAUGCGUUGUAAACUUCUUUUAUAAGGGAAGAAACCCCCGGACGUGUUCGGGGUUGACGGUACCUUACGAAUAAGCAUCGGCUAACUCCGUGCCAGCAGCCGCGGUAAUACGGAGGAUGCAAGCGUUAUCCGGAUUUAUUGGGUUUAAAGGGUGCGUAGGCGGAAAAUUAAGUCAGUGAUGAAAUCCUGCGGCUCAACCGUAGAACUGUUAUUGAUACUG